ensembl:snRNA U6 U6 spliceosomal RNA
GUGCUCGCUUCGGCAACACAUAUACUAAAAUUGGAAUGAUAGAGAAAAGAUUAGCAUGGCCCCUGCACAAGGAUGACGUGCAAAUUCAGGAAGCAUUCCAUAUUUUU